GCUUGCAUCUAGAUUUACAUCACAUUGAGUGGCGAACUGGUGAGUAACACGUGGGAAACCUGCCCAGAAGCGGGGGAUAACACCUGGAAACAGAUGCUAAUACCGCAUAACAACUUGGACCGCAUGGUCCGAGUUUGAAAGAUGGCUUCGGCUAUCACUUUUGGAUGGUCCCGCGGCGUAUUAGCUAGAUGGUGGGGUAACGGCUCACCAUGGCAAUGAUACGUAGCCGACCUGAGAGGGUAAUCGGCCACAUUGGGACUGAGACACGGCCCAAACUCCUACGGGAGGCAGCAGUAGGGAAUCUUCCACAAUGGACGAAAGUCUGAUGGAGCAACGCCGCGUGAGUGAAGAAGGGUUUCGGCUCGUAAAACUCUGUUGUUAAAGAAGAACAUAUCUGAGAGUAACUGUUCAGGUAUUGACGGUAUUUAACCAGAAAGCCACGGCUAACUACGUGCCAGCAGCCGCGGUAAUACGUAGGUGGCAAGCGUUGUCCGGAUUUAUUGGGCGUAAAGCGAGCGCAGGCGGUUUUUUAAGUCUGAUGUGAAAGCCUUCGGCUCAACCGAAGAAGUGCAUCGGAAACUGGGAAACUUGAGUGCAGAAGAGGACAGUGGAACUCCAUGUGUAGCGGUGAAAUGCGUAGAUAUAUGGAAGAACACCAGUGGCGAAGGCGGCUGUCUGGUCUGUAACUGACGCUGAGGCUCGAAAGUAUGGGUAGCAAACAGGAUUAGAUACCCUGGUAGUCCAUACCGUAAACGAUGAAUGCUAAGUGUUGGAGGGUUUCCGCCCUUCAGUGCUGCAGCUAACGCAUUAAGCAUUCCGCCUGGGGAGUACGGCCGCAAGGCUGAAACUCAAAGGAAUUGACGGGGGCCCGCACAAGCGGUGGAGCAUGUGGUUUAAUUCGAAGCUACGCGAAGAACCUUACCAGGUCUUGACAUACUAUGCAAUCUAAGAGAUUAGA
rnacentral:rRNA from 2 species